rnacentral:lncRNA from 1 species
UAUGCGGAUUUUCCACAUGUUGGCUGGGGGCUUGGUAAAAAGGGUAUUAGACUAGGAGGGGUUUUAGACAAUUUGUCGCGUGGUAUAAAUGAGGUUUUAGGGUUCAGCCAAGGAAACCCUAACCCUAAUUUUUCCCCAGCUGCCCUAACCACCCCAUCCUCCCCUUGCCCAGCUCGUGCUCGCGCCCCGGCCGCCGGCAGGCUGCUCCGGCCGCCGGAGAAGUCACCCCGGCCACCUCCUAGCUCUCCCCUAGACCCGACCUGCCACAUUUCGAGUCUUGUGCUCGGGAGGGCAUCUAGGCCGAGCUUCCCCCUUCCCUGGCCGAGACUCUCCUCCGGCGUCCUCCCUCGCCGGCCCCGGUCACCAUCGAACGCCGUCGGAGCCACCCCGGCUCCCUGCAGCCAGCUCGGGUCAGCCCAGACCGAGCCGGCUCGGGUGCAGCGUCCUCGCCUCGCCUCGGCCGCGCC